AGAUAAAGCAGGCAGAUUCAAUUUUCUGCCACCGAAUACAUUAGCAUGGGAUAAUGGAAUAGGACCCUGUCCUCCUUUUUUCAGUUGGUUAAUUCAUGAGAGAGGAACAGGGUAAUGAUUAAUAGGGAUAGUUGGGGGCAUUAAUAUUUAAUUGUCAGAGGUGAAAUUCUUGGAUUUAUGAAAGAUUAACUUCUGCGAAAGCAUCUGCCAAGGAUGUUUUCAUUAAUCAAGAACGAAAGUUAGGGGAUCGAAGACGAUCAGAUACCGUCGUAGUCUUAACCAUAAACGAUGCCGACCAGCGAUUAGGAGACGUUGAAUACAAAACACCUCUAUAUACAAUUCAGUAUAUGGCUACCCAGGGGUGUAUAGUGUGUGUAUAUAUUCAGUGAGAGAGACUCCUCUAACCCUUUGAGAAAAAAA
rnacentral:rRNA from 1 species